ACUCAAAGGAAUUGACGGGGGCCCGCACAAGCAGCGGAGCGUGUGGUUUAAUUCGAUGCAACACGAAGAACCUUACCUGGGCUUGACAUGGUCGUAGUAGUGAACCGAAAGGGGAACGAGCCUUCGGGCAGCGAUCACAGGUGCUGCAUGGCUGUCGUCAGCUCGUGUCGUGAGAUGUUGGGUUAAGUCCCGCAACGAGCGCAACCCUCGCUACUAGUUAAAUCUGUCUAGUGGGACUGCCGGAGUCAAACCGGAGGAAGGUGGGGAUGACGUCAAGUCAGCAUGGCCUUUAUGUCCAGGGCUACACACACGCUACAAUGGCCGGUACAAUGGGUCGCCAAGCCGCGAGGCGGAGCUAAUCCCAUCAAAGCCGGUCUCAGUUCGGAUUGUAGGCUGCAACCCGCCUACAUGAAGUCGGAGUUGCUAGUAACCGCAGGUCAGCUAUACUGCGGUGAAUACGUUCCCGGGCCUUGCACACACCGCCCGU
rnacentral:rRNA from 1 species